GGUACAGCAACCUCAUAACUGCCAACGCUGCACCGAUCUGUCUAUCGAUCUGCUGUCUGGGUGUAAACAGGCUGCUGUGAUGAUGAUGAGGACCAAUGUGACAGACUGUACUCAGGAUCAGGCACCGCAGAGGCGAGGAGGUACAGUAAGGGCACAUUCCAUCUUUAACGAAGAGGACAACUUCACCUUACAGGCAGUGCUAUGAUAAACUUUGGCAGGCGAGCCGGGAAGCAGGCGAGAUCAGCCGGAGAUACGGGUAAACGAGUUUUAAUUGUAACGAAAGGUGAGACAGGCAUGGACAUUAACGUACAAUACAAUGACGGAUCUGGCAAGACGUACUCAGACGCGGACUAAAUACACAAGACUAGCCAGAAAUAACGGG